rnacentral:lncRNA from 12 species
CUUCAAAAAAACCGCUAGAGUAAAUCCCCCAUUGCCUUUGCUGCACCAGAACCAGAGGACCUCGGCCACCCAUACCCACCAUACAAGCAACUAUGGAAAUGCUACAUGCAGGAGUUUUUUCAGGUGGCUCAGAUGAGUCAGUCCUCAGGUGCAUCUGACUGCUGGAGCCUGGUUCUAAGGCCCGCAUCCUUGUGAGGCUAAACACUUCUACAUUGGCCAUGACUUUCAGAACAAGAACCUUGAAAAUGAAUUUCAAAUCAUAUCUGUAAGAUGAGAUUCUUCGUCAGAUUCCAAAGACCAUGAAGAGGAUGUUUGUUAGUGUUCUGUUUUCAAUGCACCGACCACAGAUAACUGUAUUCCAAUCUCACUGUGCUGAUAAUGCCCUGCAUUUACUAAAGCUAUGUGAAAACUGAAUUGAAGAGGAGGAGACAUAGAUGCAGGAAGACCAGCUAGGAGACCAGGGUAAGAAGAGAGGAAGACAUGACAAGAAUCCGACAUAUCAUGU